GAGGUUUUGGGUCAGGAAGGGGAGGUUUUGGGUCGAGAAGCGGCGAUUUUGGGGCAGGAGGCGCCGCUGGCACGAGGGGCGUCGCCUUUGGAAGUGGAGAUGGCGCCGUGGGGACAAAGUGGGGCAUUGGUGGCACGGGACGGGUCAUUGGUGGCCCAGGACAGGCCACUGUUGACCCAGGACACAUCAACACUGACUCAGGACAGGUCAUUUGUGACCCAGGACAGGUCACCACUGACCCAGGACAGGUCAUUGUUGACCCAGGACAGGUCACCAUUGACCCAAGGGAUGUCACCAUUGACCCAAGGGAUGUCACCAUUGACCCAGGACAGGUCAUUGGUGACCCAGGACAUGUCACCAUUGACCCAGGACAGGUCACCAUUGACCCAGGACAGGUCACCAUUGACCCAAGGGAUGUCACCAUUGACCCAGGACAGGUCCUUGGUGACCCAGGACAGGUCACCAUUGACCCAGGACAGGUCAUUGGUGACCCAGGACAGGUCAUCGGUGACCCAGGACAGGUCAUUGGUGACCCAAACCAGGUCGUUGGUGACACAGGACACGUCAUCGUUGACAUGGGACAGGUCAUCGGUGACCCAGGACAGGUCAUUGGUGGCCCAGGACAGGUCACCAUUGACCCAGGACAGGUCAUUGUUGACCCUGGACGUGUCACCGUUGACCCAAAGGAUGUCACCAUUAACCCAGGACAGGUCAUUGGUGGCCCAGGACAGGUCACCAUUGACCCACGGGAUGUCAUCACUGAACCAGGACAGGUCAUCCUUGACCCAAGGGAUGUCACCGUUGACCCUGGAUGUGUCAUCGUUGACCCA